CAGAGUGCAACAAAUGGUGGUUUAAAGGUACCAAGAUUGAGGUGGUCAAUUAGUACAGAUAUUUGGGUAUGGUAUUGACCAGCACAUUGUCCUGGAAUUCCCAUUUAACUCAGAAAGAAUUCAGAAGAUGAUGUCUUGCUUUUAUUAAAAACGUUAUUAAUAUAAUCCUUAUUAAUUAAUAAAAAAUACUGCAACUUUUCACGUUGUAAUAGCCAAACCAGCAGACGGUCCAUAGGCCAUUGAUGUAUUGUAUUUGUUUAUACUUGGUUCCGUGCUUGGCACCUGACUAUUCAAUUGUUUUGUUUUAAAUAAAACACGUUUUCUUCUU